AUUGAACGCUGGCGGCAUGCCUUACACAUGCAAGUCGAACGGUAAUAGGUCUUCGGAUGCUGACGAGUGGCGAACGGGUGAGUAAUACAUCGGAACGUGCCUAGUAGUGGGGGAUAACUACUCGAAAGAGUGGCUAAUACCGCAUGAGAUCUACGGAUGAAAGCAGGGGAGCGCAAGACCUUGUGCUACUAGAGCGGCCGAUGGCAGAUUAGGUAGUUGGUGGGAUAAAAGCUUACCAAGCCGACGAUCUGUAGCUGGUCUGAGAGGACGAUCAGCCACACUGGGACUGAGACACGGCCCAGACUCCUACGGGAGGCAGCAGUGGGGAAUUUUGGACAAUGGGCGCAAGCCUGAUCCAGCAAUGCCGCGUGCAGGAUGAAGGCCUUCGGGUUGUAAACUGCUUUUGUACGGAACGAAAAGCCCUGGGUUAAUACCCUGGGGUCAUGACGGUACCGUAAGAAUAAGCACCGGCUAACUACGUGCCAGCCGCCGCGGUAAGAC
rnacentral:rRNA from 1 species